CGGGACGGGUGAGUAAUGCUUGGGAAUCUAGCUUAUGGAGGGGGAUAACUACGGGAAACUGUAGCUAAUACCGCGUAGUAUCGGAAGAUGAAAGUGUGGGACCUUCGGGCCACAUGCCAUAGGAUGAGCCCAAGUGGGGUUAGGUAGUUGGUGAGGUAAAGGCUCACCAAGCCGACGAUCUCUAGCUGGUCUGAGAGGAUGACCAGCCACACUGGGACUGAGACACGGCCCAG
rnacentral:rRNA from 1 species